rnacentral:rRNA from 1 species
AUGGCUCAUUAAAUCAGUUAUCGUUUAUUUGAUAGUACCUUACUACUUGGAUAACCGUGGUAAUUCUAGAGCUAAUACAUGCUGAAAACCCCGACUUCGGGAGGGGUGUAUUUAUUAGAUAAAAAACCAAUGCCCUUCGGGGCUCCUUGGUGAUUCAUAAUAACUUAACAGAUCGCAUGGCCUUGCGCCGGCGACGGUUCAUUCAAAUUUCUGCCCUAUCAACUUUCGAUGGUAAGGUAUUGGCUUACCAUGGUUUCAACGGGUAACGGGGAAUUAGGGUUCGAUUCCGGAGAGGGAGCCUGAGAAACGGCUACCACAUCCAAGGAAGGCAGCAGGCGCGCAAAUUACCCAAUCCCGACACGGGGAGGUAGUGACAAUAAAUACUGAUACAGGGCUCUUUUGGGUCUUGUAAUCGGAAUGAGUACAAUUUAAACCUCUUAACGAGGAACAAUUGGAGGGCAAGUCUGGUGCCAGCAGCCGCGGUAAUUCCAGCUCCAAUAGCGUAUAUUAAAGUUGUUGCAGUUAAAAAGCUCGUAGUUGAAUCUUGGGCCUGGCUGGCCGGUCCGCCUCACCGCGUGCACUGGUCCGGCCGGGCCUUUCCUUCUGGAGAGCCCCAUGCCCUUCACUGGGUGUGCGGGGGAACCAGGACUUUUACUUUGAAAAAAUUAGAGUGUUCAAAGCAGGCCUUUGCUCGAAUACGUUAGCAUGGAAUAAUAGAAUAGGACGUGCGAUCCUAUUUUGUUGGUUUCUAGGACCGCCGUAAUGAUUAAUAGGGACAGUCGGGGGCAUCAGUAUUCAAUUGUCAGAGGUGAAAUUCUUGGAUUUAUUGAAGACUAACUACUGCGAAAGCAUUUGCCAAGGAUGUUUUCAUUAAUCAGUGAACGAAAGUUAGGGGAUCGAAGACGAUCAGAUACCGUCGUAGUCUUAACCGUAAACUAUGCCGACUAGGGAUCGGGCGGUGUUCCUUUGUUGACCCGCUCGGCACCUUUCGAGAA